CGUCCGCCAACGGCCGCGGCCGGGUCUGGGGGCGGGUCUGGGAGGAGCUGAGAGCGCCUGUCACAUGACUCCGUGGGCGGAGCUUGUGCGGGGACGGCCAGAGCGUGUCCCGAGCCUCCGCCGCCUAGGCCGGAUUCGUGAGGAGCGGAGCGGAGGCAGCAGCGAGGCCGAGGGUGCCCGCCGGCUGUGCUGAGCCGCCGCCAUGGGCAUCAAGUUUUUAGAAGUUAUUAAACCUUUCUGUGCAGUUCUACCAGAAAUUCAGAAGCCUGAAAGGAAAGAACAUUGAUGGAAUUGGGUAUUUCCCCAAUUGUAACAUCUGGUUUGAUUAUGCAGUUGUUAGCUGGAGCCAAAAUCAUUGAAGUCGGAGAUACACCCAAAGAUAGAGCUCUGUUCAAUGGAGCCCAGAAACUAUUUGGUAUGAUCAUUACCAUUGGGCAAGCCAUUGUGUAUGUCAUGACGGGGAUGUACGGGGACCCUGCAGAAAUGGGUGCUGGGAUCUGCCUCCUUAUCAUUAUUCAGUUGUUUGUUGCUGGUUUGAUUGUGCUGCUGUUAGAUGAGCUGCUACAGAAGGGUUACGGCUUGGGGUCUGGUAUUUCCCUCUUUAUUGCCACCAACAUCUGUGAAACCAUUGUCUGGAAGGCCUUUAGUCCCACUACCAUUAACACUGGCAGAGGUACGGAGUUUGAAGGUGCAGUCAUAGCUCUGUUUCAUUUGUUGGCUACCCGGACAGACAAGGUCCGAGCCCUGAGGGAGGCCUUCUAUCGGCAGAACC
rnacentral:lncRNA from 1 species